rnacentral:rRNA from 1 species
AGUGAACGCUGGCGGUAGGCCUAACACAUGCAAGUCGAACGGCAGCACAGGAGAGCUUGCUCUCUGGGUGGCGAGUGGCGGACGGGUGAGGAAUACAUCGGAAUCUACUUUUUCGUGGGGGAUAACGUAGGGAAACUUACGCUAAUACCGCAUACGACCUACGGGUGAAAGCAGGGGACCUUCGGGCCUUGCGCGAUUUAAUGAGCCGAUGUCGGGUUAGCUAGUUGGCGGGGUAAAGGCCCACCAAGGCGACGAUCCGUAGCUGGUCUGAGGGGGUGAACGCCAACACUGGAACUGAGACACGCUCCAGACUCGUACGUGACUCAGCAGUGGGGAAUAUUGGACAAUGGGCGCAAGACUGAUCCAGCCAUACAGCGUGGGUGAAGAAGGCCUUCGGGUUGUAAAGCCCUUUUGUUGGGAAAGAAAUCCAGCCGGCUAAUACCUGGUUGGGAUGACGGUACCCAAAGAAUAAGCACCGGCUAACUUCGUGCCAGCAGCCGCCGUAAGAC